GUUGAAACAUCGGUUCCCGUACGAUCACCGAAGUUAAGCAGUGCCGAGCCUGGUCGGUACUUAGAUGGGUGACAACUGAGGAAUAACGAGUGAUGCAAG